rnacentral:rRNA from 1 species
UACGUAGGUGGCAAGCGUUGUCCGGAUUUAUUGGGUUUAAAGGGUGCGUAGGCGGUCUUCUAAGUCAGUUGUGAAAUACUUCAGCUUAACUGGAGAGGUGCAAUUGAUACUGGGAGGCUUGAGUACUGAUGAGGUAGGCGGAAUGGACGGUGUAGCGGUGAAAUGCUUAGAUAUCGUCCAGAACACCGAUAGCGAAGGCAGCUUACUAAGGAGUAACUGACGCUGAGGCACGAAAGUGUGGGGAUCAAACAGG